rnacentral:rRNA from 1 species
UACGGAGGGUGCUAGCGUUAUUCGGAAUGACUGGGCGUAAAGGGCGCGUAGGCGGCUUGUUAAGUCUGGUGUGAAAUCCCCGAACUUAAUUCGGGAAGUGCACUGGAUACUGAUAGGCUAGAGUGUAGGAGGGGAGAACGGAAUUCCUGGUGUAGAGGUGAAAUUCGUAGAUAUCAGGAGGAACAACAGAGGCGAAGGCGGUUCUCUGGACUACAACUGACGCUGAGGCGCGAAAGCGUGGGGAGCAAACAGG